ensembl:lncRNA
CACAAACUGACAGAUCACCUAAAAACUGCAUUGUUCUGUGUGUGAUGGCUGAAAUUGACAGAAGCGCACGUUUUGAAGCGGAGGUGGAGAUGUCUGUACUUCAAGACCCACGUGAGGCAGCACACCAGCUGUUCUGCAGGCCCAGACACAGACCAGUGGAGAAGAAGCACCCCUGCCCCACUCACACACCCAGGCAGAAGCCCAGACACAGACCAGUGGAGAGGAAGCACCCCUGCCUCACUCACACGCCCACGCAGAGGUCCAGACACAGACUUUGACCACGACCAGUGGAGAGGAAGCACCCCUGCUCCACUCACACACCCACGCAGAGUUCUGGAUCUGAGACGUGAGAGCAGCCUGCAUUCCUGAGAAUGGGAAGUUCUGGAUCUGGAUCGCCCCACAAAUGAGUGACUGCAUUGCACUUAUUACAUUAUACCUACUUCAAUGUAAAAUACUUUUGGGUGUGAGAUACUAUGAUGCCUAUUUUGGUGUUUUAAUGUUAGGUAGGCCAUCCAGGGCUGAUCUAAGCUUUCUAAGAGUUUAUGAACAGAUAGCAGUCAGAAGAGGAUAGAUUUAGUGUGUUUGGUUCCUCCCCCUUUGAAUCUUGAUGCCUCUCAAGGUUUCUUCCUCCUGCUCUAGGGAGUUUUUAAUUGUCACUGUCACCCCUGGUUUGCUGACUGAGGGUUUGGACUUGGACAUUUGUAAAGCUGCUUUGUGACAUCUGUUGUAAAAAGUGCUAUAUAAAUAAAUUUGAUUUGAUAGUUAAGUGCAGGAAAUGAAAAACAUGAUUUGACUGAUGUGUUGUAAUUCUUACUCAAAGUAACUCACAAACAAGGUAAAGUGUUCCACAGGUCUAUAUAAUAUGCACGAGAGAGAGAGCAUGUGAAGCUAGGUGAAGUUAGCGCUCAGCGCCGAGCACCUCUGAGACUGCUGCAAGUGCGCUCUCUGGUGGAGCAGCAGCAGAACUGCAGGGAUUCCCCAGACCAGAGAAACAGGCUUUACUCAAAAACAGACGUGAGGUCCUUUUCUAAACUCUACAGGGUUAUACAGUGGAAAAAGAAGGAGGAGUGGAGAAGAGCUGGGGGGGGUGGGAGAGAGAGGGGAGAGAGAGAGAGAGAGAGAGAGAGAGAGAGACAGACAGACAGACAGACACAC